UACGUAGGGGGCAAGCGUUGUCCGGAAUCAUUGGGCGUAAAGCGCGUGUAGGCGGCCCGGUAAGUCCGCUGUGAAAGUCGGGGGCUCAACCCUCGAAUGCCGGUGGAUACUGUCGGGCUAGAGUGCGGGAGAGGCGAGUGGAAUCCUGGUGUAGCGGUGAAAUGACGCAGAGUAUCAGGAGGAACACCGGUGGCGAAGGCGGCCUGCUGGGUUCUGGCUGACACUGGAGGCGCGACGAGCGUGGGGAGCAAACAGG
rnacentral:rRNA from 1 species